rnacentral:lncRNA from 1 species
AGACCUGCCGGUGUUGUCUGGUUAGCGACCUGUGCUGACGAGCAUGGCGUAGCGGGCAGUCGGCUGCAGCGGCAGGGGUGUUUUCCUUGCUGUCUGGUUGGCCUGCUGCCUGCUGCACUAGUGCUUGAUAGCUGGGCGCGGCUGGGCACAUAUGGCGGGCGGUGCCUGUACAACCCGACCCCGGCUAUGUCCGGGAGAUGAGGCUAGUAUCGGAACCUUCGGCCUCAGACGGAGCACGUGGC